AGAGUUUGAUCCUGGCUCAGGAUGAACGCUAGCUACAGGCUUAACACAUGCAAGUCGAGGGGCAGCAUGAAAGUUUGCUUGCAAACUUUUGAUGGCGACCGGCGCACGGGUGAGUAACACGUAUCCAACCUGCCUCAUACUCGGGGAUAGCCUUUCGAAAGAAAGAUUAAUACCCGAUGUCAUAGUCCUACCGCAUGAUGGGAUUAUUAAAGAAUUUCGGUAUGGGAUGGGGAUGCGUUCCAUUAGUUAGUUGGCGGGGUAACGGCCCACCAAGACAACGAUGGAUAGGGGUUCUGAGAGGAAGGUCCCCCACAUUGGAACUGAGACACGGUCCAAACUCCUACGGGAGGCAGCAGUGAGGAAUAUUGGUCAAUGGACGAGAGUCUGAACCAGCCAAGUAGCGUGAAGGAUGACUGCCCUAUGGGUUGUAAACUUCUUUUAUAUGGGAAUAAAAUGUUCCACGUGUGGGAUUUUGUAUGUACCAUAUGAAUAAGGAUCGGCUAACUCCGUGCCAGCAGCCGCGGUAAUACGGAGGAUCCGAGCGUUAUCCGGAUUUAUUGGGUUUAAAGGGAGCGUAGGUGGAUUGUUAAGUCAGUUGUGAAAGUUUGCGGCUCAACCGUAAAACUGCAGUUGAAACUGGCAGUCUUGAGUACAGUAGAGGUGAGCGGAAUUUCGUGGUGUAGCGGUGAAAUGCUUAGAUAUCACGAAGAACUCCGAUUGCGAAGGCAGCUCACUGGACUGCAACUGACACUGAGGCUCGAAAGUGUGGGUAUCAAACAGGAUUAGAUACCCUGGUAGUCCACACAGUAAACGAUGAAUACUCGCUGUUUGCGAUAUACGGCAAGCGGCCAAGCGAAAGCAUUAAGUAUUCCACCUGGGGAGUACGCCGGCAACGGUGAAACUCAAAGGAAUUGACGGGGGCCCGCACAAGCGGAGGAACAUGUGGUUUAAUUCGAUGAUACGCGAGGAACCUUACCCGGGCUUAAAUUGCACCUGAAUAAUGUGGAAACAUGUUAGCCGUAAGGCAGGUGUGAAGGUGCUGCAUGGUUGUCGUCAGCUCGUGCCGUGAGGUGUCGGCUUAAGUGCCAUAACGAGCGCAACCCUUAUCUUCAGUUACUAACAGGUCAUGCUGAGGACUCUGGAGAGACUGCCGUCGUAAGAUGUGAGGAAGGUGGGGAUGACGUCAAAUCAGCACGGCCCUUACGUCCGGGGCUACACACGUGUUACAAUGGGAGGUACAGAAGGCCGCUACCUGGCGACAGGAUGCCAAUCCCCAAAACCUCUCUCAGUUCGGAUCGAAGUCUGCAACCCGACUUCGUGAAGCUGGAUUCGCUAGUAAUCGCGCAUCAGCCAUGGCGCGGUGAAUACGUUCCCGGGCCUUGCACUCACCGCCCGUCA
rnacentral:rRNA from 1 species